CAGUCCCUGGUGCCAAAAAGGUUGGGGACUGCUGAAGAGCACCGGAAACCAGGAGGAGGCACAGGGUUCUCCCCUGAGAGCCAGGCCAGCUCUUGGUGUUUCUUCGCUGCAGGUGCCAUUUGGCAUUGAGGAUUGUUUUUCUCUUCCUCUGGGAAAGUAAGAGGGAGAGGACACAGUCUGAGUGGU
rfam:Pongo abelii chromosome 4.